AGUGAACGCUGGCGGUAGGCCUAACACAUGCAAGUCGAACGGCAGCACAGUAAGAGCUUGCUCUUACGGGUGGCGAGUGGCGGACGGGUGAGGAAUACAUCGGAAUCUACUUUUUCGUGGGGGAAAACGUAGGGAAACUAACGCUAAUACCGCAUACGACCUACGGGUGAAAGAAGGGGAUCUUCGGACCUUGCGCGAUUGAAUGAGCCGAUGUCGGAUUAGCUAGUUGGCGGGGUAAAGGCCCACCAAGGCGACGAUCCGUAGCUGGUCUGAGAGGAUGAUCAGCCACACUGGAACUGAGACACGGUCCAGACUCCUACGGGAGGCAGCAGUGGGGAAUAUUGGACAAUGGGCGCAAGCCUGAUCCAGCCAUACCGCGUGGGUGAAGAAGGCCUUCGGGUUGUAAAGCCCUUUUGUUGGGAAAGAAAAGCAGCAGGUUAAUACCCCGCUGUUCUGACGGUACCCAAAGAAUAAGCACCGGCUAACUUCGU
rnacentral:rRNA from 1 species